rnacentral:ncRNA from 2 species
ACAAAUGAAAAAGCGCCAGGACUGCGAAAGCAGUUGACGAGGACCAGAUUUUUCGAAAGAUUCGGCGGGUGAUCUGGAGGCUUGAUACAGUCUGAACGAUGGACAAAACCAUAUUGUGAAAUAUGAACAAAUCCAAAGAAGUAUCCUC